UACGUAGGGUGCAAGCGUUUGUCCGGAAUUAUUGGGCGUAAAGAGCUCGUAGGCGGUCUGUCGCGUCUGCUGUGAAAACUCGGGGCUUAACCCCGGGCCUGCAGUGGGUACGGGCAGACUAGAGUGUGGUAGGGGAGACUGGAAUUCCUGGUGUAGCGGUGGAAUGCGCAGAUAUCAGGAGGAACACCGAUGGCGAAGGCAGGUCUCUGGGCCAUUACUGACACUGAGAAGCGAAAAGCAUGGGGGAGCGAACAGG
rnacentral:rRNA from 1 species